rnacentral:rRNA from 1 species
CGGCAGCGCGGGGCAACCUGGCGGCGAGUGGCGAACGGGUGAGUAAUAUAUCGGAACGUACCCAAGAGUGGGGGAUAACGUAGCGAAAGUUACGCUAAUACCGCAUACGAUCUAAGGAUGAAAGCAGGGGAUCUUCGGACCUUGUGCUCCUGGAGCGGCCGAUAUCUGAUUAGCUAGUUGGUGAGGUAAAGGCUCACCAAGGCCACGAUCAGUAGCUGGUCUGAGAGGACGACCAGCCACACUGGAACUGAGACACGGUCCAGACUCCUACGGGAGGCAGCAGUGGGGAAUUUUGGACAAUGGGCGAAAGCCUGAUCCAGCAAUGCCGCGUGAGUGAAGAAGGCCUUCGGGUUGUAAAGCUCUUUUGUCAGGGAAGAAACGGUUCGGGCUAAUACCCUGGGCUAAUGACGGUACCUGAAGAAUAAGCACCGGCUAACUACGUGCCAGCAGCCGCGGUAAUACGUAGGGUGCAAGCGUUAAUCGGAAUUACUGGGCGUAAAGCGUGCGCAGGCGGUUCUGUAAGUCUGACGUGAAAUCCCCGGGCUCAACCUGGGAAUUGCGUUGGAGACUGCAAGGCUAGAAUCUGGCAGAGGGGGGUAGAAUUCCACGUGUAGCAGUGAAAUGCGUAGAGAUGUGGAGGAACACCGAUGGCGAAGGCAGCCCCCUGGGUCAAGAUUGACGCUCAUGCACGAAAGC